UUCCCAAAUAUUGAUGUUUUUUCAACCUUUUCGUGCCUUUUUGAUACAAAUAUCAAACUUUGAACUCCCCCCGGAUUAUUAAAAGCUCACCCAAGUUUCUUUACUUUUUAAACCAAUCAGAUUCGCCAUAGGAAUCGCAUUUUGCCCCAGCAUCGUGCCACAACUGUUUAUAGACAAAUUAGCAAACGUUUUGCACAUUUUUUCUACUUUUGUAUUUUGUU